AAUAGUGGCCUAAAUACCUUGAAGGCAACAGAUCCCUACUGAUCUCAGAAGCUUAACAGGAUCAAUCCUGGCUGGUACUCAUAUAGGGGACUGCCAAGGAAUACCAAGUGCUAUAGGUU
rnacentral:rRNA from 1 species